GAACAAACAAUGCACAGCAUAGGCAAAGAUUCUGGAAGAAUAAUGGAGAAAUCUUUAAAAUGGAAAAUAUGAAUUUAAUGUGCAGCAGUAAUCAAAAACACAACUUUUAAUGUUCAGUUGAGAAGAAAAAAAAGUAUAGAAUACUAGCAAUGAGCAUCAACAACCUAGAACAUUAUUUCUCUUAAAAUAUACCUUGUAUACAUCUCACCUUUUUUAUAGCCCAGAUAUAGACAAAUGCUUUCAGGUGAGAAUGGUCAACUGAGAUACUGUAGUGAGUGUAGUGAGUGUAGAAGGCAGGGUUCUAUCUCGGAGUGGUUGUGCUCUCGAAAUAUUCCAAUAAAGUUAAUCAGUAUAAAACUGCCUCUGGCCGGUGGAUUUCUGCGUUUGAGGCCAGCCUGGUCUACAGAGUGAGCUCCAGGACAGCCAGGGGUACACAGAGAAACCCUGUCUCAAAAAAACAAAAAAACAAAAAACAAACAACAACAACAACAACAACAAAAACCCAACAACAACAACAACAACAACAAAAAACACCUGCCUCUGUACUCUGUGUUUCUGGAGACUAAUGAGGAUCCUCAUGUUAUUUCCAGAGCUUAUUGAGAUCAGGGUAGAAGCAAUCUGCAGUUCUUCCGCUGCCUGCACUCUCAUGUUUUCUGUUCUAUACUGCCAGCAACUUAUCACAGGUGAUCAGCCUUGUGCUCUGGACACAUGCCAGGUUCUAUAAUGACAAGUCAUUAAUGUUAUGUUUCCCAGUAGUUCUGCUGAUCUACCAUGUUGUUUGUCCUGGAGUAGUCGUUGGCUUGCCCAAACAGAUGGAAUUUAUGCCAUGGUACUUUUAUUCAAAUAGGUCCGUGAUCUACAUAUGUGUCUUCACAAGCAGAGAGCUAAAAUACUCACAGCUCAGUCACGGAAACACUGGCUAUUUGUUUCACUUUAGAAACCAUAAAGAGAAUUGCUUAGCCAUUACUCCACUCUGUGUGAAUAUAUUUUAUAUAUUAUCUUACACUUUAUAUAUUCUUAUUAACAAUAUACAUAUAUAUUCUUAAAUAAAAUAUUUAGGAAUAGAUUUAAAUAUUCUUAAAAGGAUUUAUUAAAACACCUUUAAAAAUUAUUCACUGGGCACACACUAUGCCCUAAGUCUCCGGGGAUAGAUGGUGCAGUUAAUUGGCUGUUUCCACGCAAGUGAAGGACACAGGUAGUAGACAGAUGUCCCUCAGCUCCUGUAUUUGUGCUGAGAAGCAAGCAAAGGAGGGCAUCUUAUGGGGAAGGAAAUCAGUUGAUCUGGAAUAAGGCUCUUGGGCCUCUCCCCGGUGACUGGGAUAUAAAAGAAACUAAGCCAGUGUUUCACAGAGUAGAUGAAAUUUCCGGCGGGCAGAACUUGGAGUUGUCACUGGACUGUGUGAGCCAACUACAGCUGAAUGAGAGUGAGCCAUGGACACGCAGCAGGGCACUCAACAGCGGGCUCUGCUUCUUGCCACAAGCUCACGUGCUGGCCAGCACUAGGUAUAUGGGAAGAGUACCUGCAGUCAAGGCAAGAGCUGCACUUAGUUCUUUUCAGGAAAACAUAUCAGAGCCCAAAGGCUUCUGAAGGGAUUUUUAAAGCACGGAGGAGUGUCCAAGGAACCCAAAUAGUGGGAUGUAAGUCUAACAUUUUAUGGGGCAUCUUCCCUCCCUUCCUGUGAUAGGCUUCAUCAAAUCCAAUCAGAGAUUGAGUCAAGAUGCAGGCAAAUGGAAAAUGAUGUAACAGACUUGCCACCUCCUCCCUCCAUGGCACACACACCAUACACUUCCAAGUCUAACCAUGGCUUGUAGCUGCUGUGCCAGGGUAGACCCUCAGAAUCACCCACUUUUUGCACCAAUAUCCUGGGCAGAUCGGUGGAUUCUGUCUUUGUAUAGCAAGAAGAGUUACCUUCACAAGAGAGUCAGAGCCAUGGACUUUUGAGAAGCAGCAAGAUUGCUAGAUGUUGCCUGUUUUGUGAGCAUUGCUUGCUCACCUAGGUCUCCAUUCCCUACCCUUGUCUUCUGUCUGGACUGUUCUGUUCCUAUCUAAUUCCUGACCAUGUGCUGUUUCACUAAAUCCUUAGGUAGAUUUAAUUGUGUCUCAAAGUGCACUGUCUGAUAAUGACAGACUUUGACCUUUGGUGAUUAUUUCUUCUUCACAAUACCAAGAAUCUAUCUUCUCAGUGCUGUGUCCUCAGAAAACCAACCUCAGCACACAAAGUCCUGCAGCUAGGUGGCUUCCUGUUUGGAGGUAGGGAAAGGAAAAUAGAAUAUUAAUGUCUUAGUAUGAUUCCUAAAGAAGGCAGAGUUCAGAGCCUGUAGGAAGGAGGUAUAGGCUUUUGUGCAUGAGCUGAAACAACAACAACAACAACAACAACAACAACAACAAAAGUAAAGACUAAAACCAAAUAACCAAACAAAUGUCUGAAAAACAGAAUGAUCCAUAAAGAGGCCAAGGAUUCAUGAGUUCUGGUUACAGGGCCUGUAUAAUAAUGGAUACCUGGAGCUUUCUGUGUUUUAAGCAUUGUAUGAAUAUAAGUCACUACUGGUGUUAACCUGUGUGAGGAAGGUCUACUAGCCCACACUUGGUCAGUACGUUCAGUUCCACUGGGUGUGCAGGUAUCUUUCUGUGGAGGCCAUUAUUCCCACCAUACUUUGUGGAGACAGGGCGUGCUCCUUCAUGCCUCCAGAAAUCGACACUGGGAAACUGGGAAGUGGCCCUGAUGGCUGUCAAAGAGCAGAUGCCUCUUCUGCCAUUAGACAUGCCUUUGUUUAUGAUCCACUGAUUUAUGUUGUGAGUUUAUAUGCAUGAGCUCACUUGUGCCAUAACACACGUAUGGAGCUCAGACGAAACUCUGUGGAACCAGUUGUCUCCUUCCAUGGUGCUUUCGUUCUGUUGCUCACGCUCAGGUCAGGGGACUUGACCAGCAAUGACCUUAAUUGCUGAGCUACUUGCAGCCCCUAAUUUAAUUUUCAAAAUAGCCAUUUCUGGCAUACAAAGUAAUAUAGUAUCAUAUAUAUUAGUCAAAGAUUAUUUUGAGUUAUCUUUAUUAAAUAAUGUACAAUUUAAGACUAUUUGUAUUUCCACACACUUGUGGUCUUAAAUUGGUAGUAUUUAAGUUACUAUAGGAAACACUAUUUCCAUCUUAGUGUCUCAGUGAUGUUUACAUUCUGUGUACUGAGGGCAACACUGCUGAUGCUGAAACAUAAGGAAUCUUGUGUUUUUAAGCAGUAGAAGUUCAAGUAGGCUUCCACUGCCUGUACUUUUCCAUAUUGAGGCAAAGAGACCAUAUUUAGUUAGGAGUCAUGAGAAAUAUGUGCAAGUAUGUGCCCAGGUGUGCAUAUGAAUUAAGAUUCUCAAACAGCUCCUCUAAACCAUUUGCAAACGUUAACAGUUUAUCAGAGGAAGCAAGGUCAGCAGGCAGAUGGAUGUCACCAACCCUAGUCACCCUAAUUCCCAUCCUGUCCACAGCACUGGGUCAGCAGCUCCAAUUGCCCACAUAAAGACCAACACCUCAGAGUCAAACUCGACAUUUUUUUUAUUUACUUAACAUUUAACACAGUAGAAAAAAAAAACAUGCUUGAAAUUUCGCUGGAGUUAAUUAGAGAAUGCCAAGUGACAUGUUAUAGAACUGGCUCAUUCAGUUCCCGCUGGCCUAGAUUUCAGGACUCUCACUGAAACAACUCAGUGGGCCUGUACCUCGAGACAGCCUGGGUCAUUGCUGGGUUAGGCCACACUUGUUCUCGAUUUAGCUUCACGCCUUCGUUAACUAGACAAACCCUGCCCAAUCUGUCUCAUGUCAAGUAUGUUCUUGAUUCAUUUUUUCCCCUAAGGAACAAAUGCUAUUUCUUUUACCUAUAAGGAUCUCUGAAAUUCUGCAAUCAUUGCUUUGAUUUUGUCAUCUGAACUCUAAAGUUCUCUAAACAGUCAUGUAUGAUAUCUUUGUCCUUGAUUCCAGAUGUGUGGUUUGGAAUUACUUUAGAUGAUCAUGACAUUUUGAUCGAAUCACCUCUAUGGGUGACUCAGACAUUCCUACUGUUCUUUUAGGAACCCCUGUUGGCAAUUCCCUACUGUUUAUUAUACUACAACAUUUUAUACAUUAAUAAUCUUGUAUACUAUAAUGAUCUUUCCACACACUGGAAAACCAAGGGAACUUAUAUGAUCCACAAAUGUUCUCCAUUGUAUAUAAGGGAUUCUUGUUUCUGGUCAAGAAGACCCACAGAAAGUAUAAUGACUCAGAGAAAUAAAACUUAUAGAUAAAGGUAUCCAAAAGUGAUAUGCCCAUUUCUACCAGACAAUGUUUGAGUAGAUGGACACUGAGUCCUGCAUGUGGCUAAACAGUUCAUCACAUGAAUGUUUAUCAG
rnacentral:lncRNA from 1 species